rnacentral:rRNA from 1 species
GACGGGGGAUGCAAGAGUUAUCCGGAAUAACUGGGCGUAAAGCGUCUGUAGGUGGUGAUGCAAGUCACUGGUGCAAAACUCUAGCUCAACCGGAGGAAAGCCAGUGAAACUGCAUGACUAGAGUGUGGGAGAGGUAGAAGGAAUUCCCUGAGUAGCGGUGAAAUGCGUAGAUACAGGGAAGAACACCGGAGGCGAAAGCGUUCUACUGGAACACAACUGACACUGAGAGACGAAAGCUAGGGGAGCGAAUGGG